rnacentral:lncRNA from 1 species
GGAAAUGAUCUUUGUUAAUUUUAGAUCUAGUUCUUCAAAGUGCCGAGUAGGCACAGCUAUUCCAGAGCAUGAGGCUGAUGCUCAGCAGGACUCCAGCCCAGAGCUGUGUAUCACUGCAGACUCAGAGCCAGAGCACCAGCUGCGAUACCUGGAAAGAGAAAAGCUCUUUCUCUUCAAGCAUCCUCUCCUUGGACUUGCUACUCCCCCCAGAUCAGUUGGAUUUUGGGUGCAGGGGCAGCUGGAGGAAAGCAAAGCAGCAUGUCCAGCACUGCCCUUCUACCCCUGCUGCCCUCUGACAGCCCAGCAAGAGCUGCUUCUGCCUGAGGAUCUGGAGAGGAUUCACUGGACAGCACAGACUGAGAAUCAGUGCAGUGGAGGGGGAUUAACAGUCCCUUGGAUCCACACUUUCACUUCAGCUUUAGUGAUAAAUUUCUAG